AGCGCGCCCCCGACAGACACCGCGGCCCGUCUUGGAGCACCGGGUGAAGGGCAGAUGCAGAGGAGAGAGACGCAGAGGGAGGUUUCUGCUGUUCACCCCAGGGGUCACUCACAGCUCGAGUUCCGCCAGUAGAAUCACGGCAGGUUAUUCACUGCUCGCCACUCCGCACGAUAAGUCUCUCUCUGGCUUGUAGCUGCGGGGAAAAGGCGGAGCUCCCCUCUGGCUGAUUCCCACGGCGGUCAGACAGACAGAAAAGGGUUUGAGAGACGCUGCUAUUCUGCUGUGAAGAUGGGAACGAUCCCGGGCUCGGGGGUUGUGCUGAUUUUUCUUCUGAUGGCCCCGGGCAGAGCCAAGAUCCAGCAGCCGGGCUCCGCAGAGGGUUUGGAGGGAGCCGAACUGAACCUCACCUGCUCUCACCCCUCAAUCAAGACGAAUGAGAAUGUAGUUUGGUACCGGCAGUUCCCGAACCAAGGACCCCAAUAUAUAGUUUCUGGAUUCCGGGAAACUACUCAUAGCACCGACCCCGAGGGAGCUUUGCAUGUUUCUGGAGACAGAAAGUCCAGCGCCCUGGCUCUGCGCAGGGUGCGGCUGGCGGACGCAGCGGUGUAUUAUUGUGCUCUGAGCGACACAGUGGGACCGCCAGGGGCUGGUCCCGUACAAUAAGUAUCUCACUGAGGCCUGUGUGUGCGUAGGCGGUGGGAGGGGUGAAUGUGGAGUGUGUUUCCAUGAGGGGGAGGGCAGAGGGGCGAUUAGGGGAGAUAAAAGAGAUGAAUAAAACAUUUGGGGCCAAA